rnacentral:rRNA from 1 species
UACGUAGGUGGCGAGCGUUGUCCGGAAUUACUGGGUGUAAAGGGCGUGUAGGCGGGGCAUUAAGUCAGAUGUGAAAUUCCGGGGCUCAACUCCGGGGCUGCAUCUGAAACUAAAGUUCUUGAGUGCUGGAGAGGGAAGCGGAAUUCCUAGUGUAGCGGUGAAAUGCGUAGAUAUUAGGAGGAACACCAGUGGCGAAGGUGGCUUCCUGGACAGUAAAUGACGCUGAGGCGCGAAAGCGUGGGGAGCAAACAGG